GUGAAUAGCAGAUAGAAUAUUUAAAGUGGAAGUACCUUACCAAUACUGUUCAUUUAUCUUCUUUUUAUAGACGAGUUGUUGGUAACUAUCUGUAACGGUUAGGCAUGUGGAUCCCAUUUAUUCCGAUACUAUGUGAUCGUGGGAUGGGCAGUUAAUGCCCACUGAUGAUCAUGGUAUGUGGCUAUUAUGUGCUUUCUGCGC
rnacentral:lncRNA from 1 species